rnacentral:rRNA from 1 species
GACGAACGCUGACGGCGUGCUUAACACAUGCAAGUCGAACGGAAAGGCCCCUUUGGGGGUACUCGAGUGGCGAACGGGUGAGUAACACGUGAGUAACCUGCCCUUGACUUCGGGAUAACUUCAGGAAACUGGGGCUAAUACCGGAUAGGAAUCCUUGCUGCAUGGUGGGGGUUGGAAAGCUUCGGCGGUUUUGGAUGGACUCGCGGCUUAUCAGCUUGUUGGUGGGGUAGUGGCUUACCAAGGCUUUGACGGGUAGCCGGCCUGAGAGGGCGACCGGCCACAUUGGGACUGAGAUACGGCCCAGACUCCUACGGGAGGCAGCAGUGGGGAAUAUUGCACAAUGGGCGGAAGCCUGAUGCAGCAACGCCGCGUGCGGGAUGACGGCCUUCGGGUUGUAAACCGCUUUCAGCAGGGGCGAAGCUUGUGGUGACGGUACCUGCAGAAGAAGCACCGGCUAACUACGUG